GACGAACGCUGGCGGCGUGCUUAACACAUGCAAGUCGAACGGAAAGGCCCUGCUUUUGUGGGGUGCUCGAGUGGCGAGCGGGUGAGUAACACGUGAGUAACCUGCCCUUGACUUUGGGAUAACUUCAGGAAACUGGGGUUAAUACCGGAUAGGAGCUCCUGCUGCACGGUGGGGGUUGGAAAGUUUCGGCGGUUGGGGAUGGACUCGCGGCUUAUCAGCUUGUUGGUGGGGUAGUGGCUUACCAAGGCUUUGACGGGUAGCCGGCCUGAGAGGGUGACCGGCCACAUUGGGACUGAGAUACGGCCCAGACUCCUACGGGAGGCAGCAGUGGGGAAUAUUGCACAAUGGGCGGAAGCCUGAUGCAGCAACGCCGCGUGCGGGAUGACGGCCUUCGGGUUGUAAACCGCUUUCGCCUGUGACGAAGCGUGAGUGACGGUAAUGGGUAAAGAAGCACCGGCUAACUACGUGCCAGCAGCCGCGGUGAUACGUAGGGUGCGAGCGUUGUCCGGAUUUAUUGGGCGUAAAGGGCUCGUAGGUGGUUGAUCGCGUCGGAAGUGUAAUCUUGGGGCUUAACCCUGAGCGUGCUUUCGAUACGGGUUGACUUGAGGAAGGUAGGGGAGAAUGGAAUUCCUGGUGGAGCGGUGGAAUGCGCAGAUAUCAGGAGGAACACCAGUGGCGAAGGCGGUUCUCUGGGCCUUUCCUGACGCUGAGGAGCGAAAGCGUGGGGAGCGAACAGGCUUAGAUACCCUGGUAGUCCACGCUGUAAACGGUGGGUACUAGGUGUGGGGUCCAUUCCACGGGUUCCGUGCCGUAGCUAACGCUUUAAGUACCCCGCCUGGGGAGUACGGCCGCAAGGCUAAAACUCAAAGGAAUUGACGGGGCCCCGCACAAGCGGCGGAGCAUGCGGAUUAAUUCGAUGCAACGCGUAGAACCUUACCUGGGUUUGACAUGGAUCGGGAGCGCUCAGAGAUGGGUGUGCCUCUUUUGGGGUCGGUUCACAGGUGGUGCAUGGCUGUCGUCAGCUCGUGUCGUGAGAUGUUGGGUUAAGUCCCGCAACGAGCGCAACCCUUGUUCACUGUUGCCAGCACGUUAUGGUGGGGACUCAGUGGAGACCGCCGGGGUCAACUCGGAGGAAGGUGGGGAUGACGUCAAGUCAUCAUGCCCCUUAUGUCCAGGGCUUCACGCAUGCUACAAUGGCUGGUACAGAGAGUGGCGAGCCUGUGAGGGUGAGCGAAUCUCGGAAAGCCGGUCUCAGUUCGGAUUGGGGUCCGCAACUCGACCUCAUGAAGUCGGAGUCGCUAGUAAUCGCAGAUCAGCAACGCUGCGGUGAAUACGUUCCCGGGGCU
rnacentral:rRNA from 1 species